rnacentral:siRNA from 1 species
CAAGAACGCCUCUUGGAUGCCUA